CAUUGAAUUGACAACUCAUGAACAGUUUAUAUUUAUAUCUAGAUAACAAUAAAAUAAACUUUUCAUUAUAAUAUUAAUUAUCUGAAAAAGAUAUAGGUAGUGAAAAGUGACUACAGGUAAUUAACAUAAGUUUUGCCCUUUUCUUAAUGGUACAAACAAUGACAACUGCAGUUACAACUACCCAGAAAAAGGUUGGUGCUAGUAAUGCUCCACCAGGAGGCAUGCGGAAGAAAUCGGGGCCCAAGUUUGAGCUCACUGAAGAACAAAGAAGGGACAUAAAAGAAGCAUUUGAUUUAUUUGACACAGAAAAUACUGGAAAAAUUGAUACAAAAGAGUUAAAAGUUGCAAUUAGAGCCCUCGGAUUUGAACCUAGAAAAGAGGAAAUCAAAAAGAUGAUUGCAGAAAUUGAUAAAUCUGAUGGAAAAGUAUCAUUUGAAGAUUUUCUGGAGUUGAUGACAGUGAAGAUGGCAGAGAAGGAUACAAAGGAGGAAAUCAUGAAAGCUUUCAAACUGUUUGAUGAUGAUGAAACUGGUAAAAUCUCUUUCAAGAACUUAAAGAGAGUGGCAAGGGAACUUGGUGAAAACCUCACUGAUGAAGAGCUGCAUGAAAUGAUAGAUGAAGCAGACAGGGAUGGUGACGGGGAAAUCAACCAAGACGAGUUCCUACGCAUCAUGAAAAAAACUAGUCUUUAUUAGAUCACCAAAGUAAAAUUCGGCCUAUUUUCAUACUUACUGUACUCUUGAAAGCACAAAUUAUAUCCUUCAAAGGGAUAAUGAAAUAGUAGCAGCUAUGAAGAAGACUCUUGCAACAACUUAUUGGAAUAGUUACCUAUAUUUUUAUAUAAGUGUUGGAAAGGAAUAAUACAUAAUGUAAGAACAGGACAAAUGAAUAUUUGUUAAUAUGAAUAGUCUAAUCUGUAGAACUAUUUAAGAUUGACACAUAUAUCUAAGGACCGGCCUUACGGGCAUUAGGAACGGCGCUAGUUCAGUGUUGUCACUCUCGAAUUCGAGCAAAUCGUGUAGUCUAACGGAACUAUUUGCAAACAAUCGUGCGCGUAGUGUGAACUCAUCAACCAAUCGCGUUCUGGCGUUAGACUGCACGAUUGGCCGAAUUCGUGUGCGUGACACUGACACCACUGUACUGGCCCCAUUCUUAUUGUCCGUAAGGCCCGUCCUUAGAUAUAUAUGUCAAUGCUAUUUAACUCUGUCAACUUUUGAGGCAUUUACAGGCUUGGUUCUAUAAAAAUCUCUGAAACCUUUACUCAGAACGGAUGUUUAUUAGUAUAUGAAGUAUAUCUUUAUUAAAAUCCAAUGAGCGUUUAUAAAGCUGGCCUUAGUUGUUUUAAUAACCAAAGACUAUCUGCAUAAGAAUAAAUAAGUUGUGUAAUAUCAAACUAUCGAAUUUUUAUAAUAAUGAUAAAUAAGUAUUCACCUGCUUAUAUUAGGAACAAAAAGUAACUUUUACAAAUUUGGCAUACUUAAAUUAACUUAAAAAUGCAUGUUUAAAAAAAUACAUCUAAAACAUAUAUCAGUAGGUAUUUAAAACAUUCCAUGUUAGUCAUUUGAUUGUUAAAUAUAAGAUAUUUUAAGCUAUCUAUAAUAUUUGUAACUACUAAUCAUACCAGAUCUGAAAGAAUAAACUUAUAUUGUUUAAGUAUUUCUUAAAUGCAUUGCGUUCUAUACCUAUAAGUAGGUGAAAAUGUAGAAUAAAAUAUAUGGCACCUAAGGUUGA